rnacentral:rRNA from 1 species
AACGAACGCUGGCGGCAGGCUUAACACAUGCAAGUCGAACGCCCCGCAAGGGGAGUGGCAGACGGGUGAGUAACGCGUGGGAACAUACCCUUUUCUACGGAAUAGCUCUGGGAAACUGGAAUUAAUACCGUAUACGCCCUACGGGGGAAAGAUUUAUCGGGGAAGGAUUGGCCCGCGUUGGAUUAGCUAGUUGGUGGGGUAAAGGCCUACCAAGGCGACGAUCCAUAGCUGGUCUGAGAGGAUGAUCAGCCACAUUGGGACUGAGACACGGCCCAAACUCCUACGGGAGGCAGCAGUGGGGAAUUUUUGGCAAUGGGGGCAACCCUGACCAAGCAACGCCGCGUGGGUGAUGAAGUCUCUUGGGACGUAAAACCCUUUCGACGGGGACGAAACCGCAAGGUUGACGGUACCCGUAGAAGAAGCCCCGGCUAACUCCGUGCCAGCAGCCGCGGUAAUAC